AUGAACGUUGGCGGCGUGGAUUAGGCAUGCAAGUCGAGCGAGAACCCAGCAAUGGGGGACAGCGGCGCAAGGGACAGUAAUGUGUAGAUCAUCUGCCCUCAGGCCCGGGAUAGCUGCGGGAAACUGCAGGUAAUACCGGAUAACAUCUCCGGAUCAAAGGUGUGAUUCCGCCUGAGGAUGAGUCUACAUCCUAUUAGCUAGUUGGCAGGGUAACGGCCUACCAAGGCGAUGAUGGGUAGCGGGUGUGAGAGCACGACCCGCGUCAGUGGGACUGAGACACUGCCCAGACACCUACGGGUGGCUGCAGUCGAGAAUCUUCGGCAAUGGGCGCAAGCCUGACCGAGCGACGCCGCGUGCGGGAUGAAGGCCUUCGGGUUGUAAACCGCUGUCAGAGGGGAUGAAAGCAGUCUGGCCUAAUACGCCGGGCUGUUGACUGUACCGGUGGAGGAAGCCACGGCUAACUCUGU
rnacentral:rRNA from 1 species